ACGCUCGACACCUACGGGAGGCAGCAGUUGGGAAUAUUGGACAAUGGAGGAAACUCUGAUCCAGUGACGCCGCGUGAAGGAAGAAGGUCUUCGGAUUGUAAACUUAUUUUGUCAGGGAAGAAAAAUGACUGUACCUGAAGAAAAAGCACCGGCUAACUACGUGGCAGCAGCCGCGGUAAUCUGAGCGGGCUGGCAAGGC
rnacentral:rRNA from 1 species